rnacentral:ncRNA from 1 species
GCCCCUUUGGUAUGGUGGUGGUCGGCGAAAGCCCCGCAAUGCUUUUUACUGCGUAGGACACCUAAACCGAACGGGCUU